rnacentral:lncRNA from 1 species
AAGAUUUGAAAUGUCCAAGAGGCGAGCAUAGUGGCACUCAUUUCUUCUGUACGAUCAUGAACGAGGUGUUUUUGAAGUUAAGACAGCUAUCAACAGACACCGUGGGAGUAAUCUACAUACGGUGAAUGAAAAUAGAAGGUUCUGUUCGUGUGGAAAAUGGACCAUCUACCACAUGCCGUGCGCACAUGCGUUUAAGUGCUUUCAGUAAGUUGGAUAUGGG